AGAGUUUGAUCCUGGCUCAGGAUGAACGCUGGCGGCGUGCCUAAUACAUGCAAGUAGAACGCUGAAGCUUGGUGCUUGCACCGAGCGGAUGAGUUGCGAACGGGUGAGUAACGCGUAGGUAACCUCCCCCUUAGCGGGGGAUAACUAUUGGAAACGAUAGCUAAUACCGCAUAAAAGUCGAUAUCGCAUGAUGUUGAUUUGAAAGGUGCAAUUGCAUCACUAAGAGAUGGACCUGCGUUGUAUUAGCUAGUAGGUGAGGUAACGGCUCACCUAGGCGACGAUACAUAGCCGACCUGAGAGGGUGAUCGGCCACACUGGGACUGAGACACGGCCCAGACUCCUACGGGAGGCAGCAGUAGGGAAUCUUCGGCAAUGGGGGCAACCCUGACCGAGCAACGCCGCGUGAGUGAAGAAGGUUUUCGGAUCGUAAAGCUCUGUUGUAAGUCAAGAACGAGUGUGAGAGUGGAAAGUUUACACUGUGACGGUAGCUUACCAGAAAGGGACGGCUAACUACGUGCCAGCAGCCGCGGUAAUACGUAGGUCCCGAGCGUUGUCCGGAUUUAUUGGGCGUAAAGCGAGCGCAGGCGGUUUGAUAAGUCUGAAGUUAAAGGCUGUGGCUCAACCAUAGUUCGCUUUGGAAACUGUCAAACUUGAGUGCAGAAGGGGAGAGUGGAAUUCCAUGUGUAGCGGUGAAAUGCGUAGAUAUAUGGAGGAACACCAGUGGCGAAGGCGACUCUCUGGUCUGUAACUGACGCUGAGGCUCGAAAGCGUGGGUAGCAAACAGGAUUAGAUACCCUGGUAGUCCACGCCGUAA
rnacentral:rRNA from 1 species